UGGGGAAUUUUGCACAAUGGGGGAAACCCUGAUGCAGCGACGCCGCGUGAUUUAGAAGGCCUUCGGGUUGUAAAAAUCUUUUUUACGGGAUGAAAAUGACAGUACCGUAAGAAUAAGGUCCGGCUAAAUACGUGCCAGCAGCCGCGGUAAUACGUAUGGACCGAGCGUUGUCCGGAAUCAUUGGGCGUAAAGGGUACGUAGGCGGCCUAGUAAGUUAGAAGUGAAAUAAUAUAGCUCAACUAUAUAAAGCUUUUAAAACUGCUAGGCUUGAGAGAUGGAAGGGAAAGUGGAAGUCCUAGUGUAGCGGUGAAAUGCGCAGAUAUUAGGAAGAAUACCGGUGGCGAAGGCGACUUUCUGGUCAUCAUCUGACGCUGAGGUACGAAAGCGUGGGUAGCAAACAGG
rnacentral:rRNA from 1 species